rnacentral:rRNA from 1 species
AAAGGAAUUGACGGGGGCCCGCACAAGCGGAGGAACAUGUGGUUUAAUUCGAUGAUACGCGAGGAACCUUACCCGGGAUUGAAAUGGAGAGGCAUACAGUGGAGACACUGUAGUCAGCAAUGACCUCUUUGUAGGUGCUGCAUGGUUGUCGUCAGCUCGUGCCGUGAGGUGUCGGCUUAAGUGCCAUAACGAGCGCAACCCUGACUGUCAGUUGCUAACAGGUUAAGCUGAGGACUCUGGCGGAACUGCCGGCGUAAGCUGUGAGGAAGGCUGGGAUGACGUCAAAUCAGCACGGCCCUUACAUCCGGGGCGACACACGUGUUACAAUGGGGGGGACAAAGGGCAGCUACCGGGCGACCGGAUGCCAAUCUCGAAACCCUCUCUCAGUUCGGAUCGGAGUCUGCAACCCGACUCCGUGAAGCCGGAUUCGCUAGUAAUCGCGCAUCAGCCAUGGCGCGGUGAAUACGUUCCCGGGCCUUGUACACACCGCCCGU